rnacentral:rRNA from 1 species
UACGUAGGGCGCAAGCGUUGUCCGGAAUUAUUGGGCGUAAAGAGCUCGUAGGCGGUCCGUCACGUCUGCCGUGAAAACCCGAGGCUUAACCUCGGGCCUGCGGUGGAUACGGGCGAACUAGAGGUAGGUAGGGGAGAACGGAAUUCCCGGUGUAGCGGUGAAAUGCGCAGAUAUCGGGAGGAACACCGGUGGCGAAGGCAGCUCUCUGGGACGGUACUGACGCUGAGACGCGAAAGCGUGGGGAGCGAACAGG